UUUUUCUAGAACAAAAACGUGAAAAUUCAUACAAAUGUAGAACAAUUAUGAGCCAGAAUGAAGGACAGAUGCAAAGAAAGUGAACUAUGGGAACUUCUGGCUUGAGAUGAGUAGGUGAUUGCUGGCAAUGAGACCUAUAUUAAGUAGCAAUAUAGGGUUGAUGUGGAGGGACUGGGUCAUAGCAAUUGCUGGAUUACCUAUGGAGCAAAAUGGUACACUGCAUAAACCCCCUAUUAUGAGUGCCUAAAAAUGUGACUGAAUAGACCUUUCAAAUAUACUGUGUGGAAGAAUGUAGCAGCAGCAAAGAAGAAGAUGCAAGAAUCUUCAAAGAUGACAUUAUUAUAGGUUAAACAAGGUAUUGAAUUACUCUUGGAUCCCCAGCUGGUUUCUCAAGCUGCUUUUGGAGCUCGGUGAUCAUUUGUGCAUUAGAUUUGCAUGUGGGAAUCCUUAACUGCAGACACAGGUGAGUGAGCUGAAGAAGAUCUAGCCUACCUGAGGAGUGCUGCUUCUCUGUGAUUUGGAAAGAGGGAAAAGCUGGGGUUGGUCAGCAUGUGCCUGGCACCUAGGCCAGGUCUCUGGAGCCUUCCACAAGUGCUCCAGGCAAUCUUUUAAAACUGUAGCACCCUGUAAACUCAACACUUCUGAGAGAAGCUUGUUUCCUGCCACAACUGAUGUCACUCUACUCUGAGAUUUAUCCUCAUGCUACAGCAGAAUGCCAACUUCAGCUGUUCUGGAAGCCAUGAGAUACUCUCAGGCAAUGUUUAAAAUAAUGCAAAGCAUGCAGUUGUGGUGCUUAAGUCUAAAUAUAUCCUCAGUUUGGUUAAAAAAAAUAAUCCAUGUGCUGUGUAUGAAAAUAAACAUAUGUCUGUAGC